UGGGGAAUAUUGGACAAUGGGCGAAAGCCUGAUCCAGCCAUGCCGCGUGUGUGAAGAAGGUCUUCGGAUUGUAAAGCACUUUAAGUUGGGAGGAAGGGCAGUAAGCGAAUACCUUGCUGUUUUGACGUUACCGACAGAAUAAGCACCGGCUAACUCUGUGCCAGCAGCCGCGGUAAUACAGAGGGUGCAAGCGUUAAUCGGAAUUACUGGGCGUAAAGCGCGCGUAGGUGGUUCGUUAAGUUGAAUGUGAAAGCCCCGGGCUCAACCUGGGAGCUGCAUCCAAAACUGGCGAGCUAGAGUAGGGCAGAGGGUGGUGGAAUUUCCUGUGUAGCGGUGAAAUGCGUAGAUAUAGGAAGGAACACAAGUGGCGAAGGCGACCACCUGGGCUCAUACUGACACUGAGGUGCGAAAGCGUGGGGAGCAAACAGG
rnacentral:rRNA from 1 species